CCCUUAGAUGUUCGGGGCCGCACGCGCGCUACACUGAAGGACUCAGCGUGCUCGUUGUCCUGGUCUGGAAAGACUGGGUAACCCGAUGAACCUCCUUCGUGCUAGGGAUUGGGGCUUGCAAUUCUUGCCCAUGAACGAGGAAUUCCCAGUAAGCGCGAGUCAUCAGCUCGUGUUGAUUACGUCCCUGCCCUUUGUACACACCGCCCGUCGCUACUACCGAUUGAAUGGUUUAGUGAGACCCUCGGAUUCGUCCCAGCAGGGUGGGUUCCCCUACCCUUUUGGUGUGCGGAGAAGACGGUCGAACUUGAUCAUUUAGAGGAAGGUGAAGUCGUAACA
rnacentral:rRNA from 1 species